rnacentral:rRNA from 1 species
GAUGAACGCUGGCGGCGUGCCUAAUACAUGCAAUUCGAGCGAACGGACGAGAAGCUUUCUUCUCUUAUGUUAGCGGCUGACGGUGAGUAACACUUUGAUAACCUACCUAUAAGUCUGUGAUAACUUCGGGAAACCGUAGCUAAUACCUGAUAAUAUUUUUAACCGCAUGUUUCAAAAUUUAAAUACGUUCUUUCUUUCACUUAUUGAUUGAUCCGCGCUGCAUUAGCUAGUUGUUAAGGUAAAGGCUUACAAAGGCAACGAUGCAUAGAGGACAUGAGAGGGUGAUCGGCAAAACAGGAAGUGAGACACGGAAAAGAAUAAUACGGGAGGAAGCAGUAGGGAAGAUUCCGCAAUGGGCGAAAGAAUGACGGAGAAACGCAGAGUGAGUGAUGAAGGAAAUAGGAUCGUAAAACUAUGUUAUUAGGGAAGAAAAUAUGUGUAAGAAAAUGUGCACAUAUUGACGGUACCUAAUCAGAAAGAAACGGCUAACUACGUG